GAUGAAGAACGUAGCGAAAUGCGAUAAGUAAUGUGAAUUGCAGAAUUCAGUGAAUCAUCGAAUCUUUGAACGCACCUUGCACCCUUUGGUAUUCCGAAGGGUAUGCUCGUUUGAGUGUCAUUGUACUCUCACACUUCUAAUUCCUUUCGGGAUUGGGAGCGGUGGACUUGGGUGUUGCUGCUUUAGUUGUGGCUCACCUCAAAUAAGUUAGUGCAACUCUUGGUUGGACAUAGUACGGCGUGAUAAGUGUCUUCGCCGGCGCCUCUGUAAGGAGGGUGGCCGAUCGGGAGCUCUGUGCUUCAAACCGUCUUCGGACAAUCUUUGACAACUUGACCUCAAAUCGAGUAGGACUACCCGCUGAACUUAAGCAUAUAAAUAAGCGGAGGA
rnacentral:misc_RNA from 1 species